rnacentral:rRNA from 1 species
GCAGGCUUAACACAUGCAAGUUGAGCGGGCGUAGCAAUACGUCAGCGGCAGACGGGUGAGUAACGCGUGGGAACGUACCUUUUGGUUCGGAACAACACAGGGAAACUUGUGCUAAUACCGGAUAAGCCCUUACGGGGAAAGAUUUAUCGCCGAAAGAUCGGCCCGCGUCUGAUUAGCUAGUUGGUGAGGUAAUGGCUCACCAAGGCGACGAUCAGUAGCUGGUUUGAGAGGAUGAUCAGCCACAUUGGGACUGAGACACGGCCCAAAC